rnacentral:rRNA from 1 species
GUGCCAGCCGCCGCGGUAAUACCGGCAGCUCAAGUGAUGUCCAAUAUUAUUGGGCCUAAAGCGUCCGUAGCUGGCCGCACAAGUCUGUCGGGAAAUCCACCUGCUCAACAGGUGGGCGUCCGGCGGAAACUGUGUGGCUUGGAACCGGAAGGCUCAGAGGGUACGUCCGGGGUAGGAGUGAAAUCCCGUAAUCCCGGACGGACCACCGAUGGCGAAAGCACUUCGAGAAAACGGAUCCGACAGUGAGGGACGAAAGCCAGGGUCUCCAACCGGAUUAGAUACCCUUGUAGUCC